UACGUAGGGCGCAAGCGUUAUCCGGAAUUAUUGGGCGUAAAGAGCUCGUAGGCGGUUUGUCGCGUCUGCCGUGAAAGUCCGGGGCUCAACUCCGGAUCUGCGGUGGGUACGGGCAGACUAGAGCGAUGUAGGGGAGACUGGAAUUCCUGGUGUAGCGGUGAAAUGCGCAGAUAUCAGGAGGAACACCGAUGGCGAAGGCAGGUCUCUGGGCAUUAACUGACGCUGAGGAGCGAAAGCAUGGGGGCGAACAGG
rnacentral:rRNA from 1 species